rnacentral:rRNA from 1 species
CGUGUAGGCGGUUUGUUUAGUCUGAUGUGAAAGCCCUGGGCUCAACCCAGGAAGUGCAUUGGAAACUGGCAGACUUGAAUACGGGAGAGGGUAGUGGAAUUCCUAGUGUAGGAGUGAAAUCCGUAGAUAUUAGGAGGAACACCGGUGGCGAAGGCGACUGCCUGGACCGAUAUUGACGCUGAGACGCGAAAGCGUGGGUAGCAAACA